rnacentral:rRNA from 1 species
UAGUCCACGCAGUAAACGAUGAGUGCUAGUCGCUGGGACAAUAGUUUCAGUGUCGAAGCUAACGCAUUAAGCACUCCGCCUGGGAAGUACGACCGCAAGGUUAAAACUCAAAUGAAUUGACGGGGACCCGCACAAGUAGUGGAGCAUGUGGUUUAAUUCGAAGAUACGCGCAGAACCUUACCAACACUUGACAUGUUCGUCGCGACUCUAAGAGAUUAGAGUUUUCGGUUCGGCCGGACGAAACACAGGUGCUGCAUGGCUGUCGUCAGCUCGUGUCGUGAGAUGUUGGGUUAAGUCCCGCAACGAGCGCAACCCUCACUUUUAGUUGCCAUCAUUAAGUUGGGCACUCUGAAAGAACUGCCAGUGAUAAGCUGGAGGAAGGUGGGGGAUGACGUCAAGUCCUCAUGGGCCCUUACGUGUUGGGGCUACACACGUGCUACAAUGGGUAUCUACAACAGGAAGCAAGACUGCGAAGUUAAGCAAAUCCCUAAAAGAUACCUCA